AUGGUUCAGACAUAAAAGGUGGCUUCGGCUACCACUUACAGAUGGACCCGCGGCGCAUUAGCUAGUUGGUGAGGUAACGGCUCACCAAGGCAACGAUGCGUAGCCGACCUGGAGAGGGUGAUCGGCCACACUGGGACUGAGACACGGCCCAGACUCCUACGGGAGGCAGCAGUAGGGAAUCUUCCGCAAUGGACGAAAGUCUGACGGAGCAACGCCGCGUGAGUGAUGAAGGUUUUCGGCUAGUAAAGCUCUGUUGUUAGGGAAGAACAAGUGCCGUUCAAAUAGGGCGGCACCUUGACGGUAAUAACCAGAAAGCCACGGCUAACUACGUGCCAGCAGCCGCGGUAAUCGUAGGUGGCAAGCGUUGUCCGGAAUUAUUGGGCGUCGCGGGCUCGCAGGCGGUUUCUUAAGUCUGAUGUGAAAGCCCCCGGCUCAACCGGGGAGGGUCAUUGGAAACUGGGGAACUUGAGUGCAGAAGAGGAGAGUGGAAUUCCACGUGUAGCGGUGAAAUGCGUAGAGAUGUGGACGGAACACCAGUGGCGAAGGGACUCUCUGGUCUGUAACUGACGCUGACGAGCGAAAGCGUGGGGAGCGAACAGGAUUACAUACCCUGGUAGUCCACGCCGUAAACGAAGAAUGCUAAGUGUUAGGGGGUUUCCGCCCCUUAGUGCUGCAGCUAACGCAUAAGCACUCCGCCUGGGGAGUACGGUCGCAAGACUGAAACUCAAAGGAAUUGACGGGGGCCCGCACAAGCGGUGGAGCAUGUGGUUUAAUUCGAAGCAACGCGAAGAACCUUACCAGGUCUUGACCUACUCUGACAAUCCAGAGAUAGGACGUCCCCUUCGGGGGCAGAGUGACAGGUGGUGCAUGGUUGUCGUCAGCUCGUGUCGUGAGAUGUUGGGUUAAGUCCCGCAACGAGCGCAACCCUUGAUUAAGUUGCCAGCAUUCAGUUGGGCACUCUAAGGUGACUGCCGGUGACAAACCGGAGGAAGGUGGGGAUGACGUCAAAUCAUCAUGCCCCUUAUGACCUGGGCUACACACGUGCUACAAUGGACAGAACAAAGGGCAGCGAAACCGCGAGGUUAAGCCACUACCACAAAUCUGUUCUCAGUUCGGAUCGCAGUCUGCAACUCGACUGCGUGAAGCUGGAAUCGCUAGUAAUCGCGGAUCAGC
rnacentral:rRNA from 1 species